UCAAGCGGCUCCAUUUAAUUGAACAAUGCAAUCAUUACAUCAAUUUAAAUGCAGAGCUAUCCUCAGCUGCAUAAAUAAAUAGAAUUUUUUAAUCAGUUGGACACAUUUGUAUAAUUUUACUUAAAUACUCUAAGAGGGUAAGCAGACAGACAAAGUCCGUGCUGCUGGCACUUCAGCUUAGAAGUUUCUAAGAAAUCAGGAAAAAAAUUUGUUUGGGUCAUAGCUUUCUCAUGGAUUUUGGUUCAGUUUUAAUUUAUUAGUUUUGUUUAUCAAAUUUAAGACUAGAGAAUAUAAAUUAUCAUUGUCAUCAUUUUAUGCCCAUCUUCCAUGUUGAUGUGGGUCAGACACUUUGACCGGACUAGCCAGAGGACUGUGUAGAGCUUCAACGUCUGUUUUAGUGUGGUUUCUAUGGCUGGAUGCCCUGCCUAAAGCCAAGCAAUUUACAGAGUGUACUAAGUGCUUUUUUUUGUGACAUUAGUGCUAGUGAAGCUGUCAAGUAAUUCACAAGACAAAGUAAAGAUACCUUGACUGAGAGGAGGUGAUUUUAUGCCAGAUGUUGAGAGGCUAAAGUGUGUCAGAGAUAAGCACAAGUCUCUUGGUAUUGUGAAGAUACAUGUAUGAUUAAAAGAGUGGGUGGGAGAAGCUGCAAAAAAUACAAUGAUGAUGGUGAUGAAGUGUCACAGAAUACUUUCAAAGUACUAGAUGAUAAGUAUACGAGAGAAUAUGGACAAAAAACCUGGAAGUUGGUGUAGAGAUGAAAGUGAAAGAAUAGGAGUGACUCGGGAAGAAAGAAGUGAUAAGUGGCAGUACAGGAAAGCAGGAAAGGAUUGUCAUCUCCGUCAUCAUCCUUUAACAUCCAUUUUUCCAUGGUUAGACUGUUUGACUGGAGCUGGUAAGCCAGAGAGCUGUACCAGACUCUGUCUAUUUUGGCUUGGUUUCUUUGGCCAGACGCUCUAUAGUGUAUACUGAGUGUCUUUUACCUGGGUGCCUUUUAUGUGUCACUAGCACUGGCCAUGACCACUUAGCUUGAUGUGUCUUCCCAAGCACAGGAAAUUUCCAGAAUUCUCAGUCAUGUGUCAUCACUUCCAUGAGACUCAAUAUGACAAGUGUGCAGAUUGAUAAGAAAUUGUGGAAAUGGUGAACAGAGUGGGAAUGUACAAUGACAGAGAUGGAUUAAAGAGAGUUAAAUAAGGGUUGCUAUAGCAACGAUUGACAACAGAUAUAACACGUUGAUGAGAAUGAUAGCAUAUGAGAUAGGGCUACAGACAAGGUAAUGGCAGGUCUAACAUGUACUUCAGGAAGGCACAGAAAGGAGUGAUCAGAAAGAAAUGGGAAGGAAGGAGGGAUUUUAAAAAGAAGUGGUUUGAGUGGGACAGGAGCAAAGUGGCCAUCAGCCCUGGGCUGUAAUAUAUGUCUAUCCUGCUCUCAAGGAAUUACAGCAGGUGAGUAGUACUGUAGACAGUAGUUCCUUAUGUAUAUACAAACACACAUACACAUAUAUAUAUAUAUAUAUAUAUAUAUAUAUAUAUAUA